rnacentral:miRNA from 10 species
UGGGAUUACAGGCGUGAACCACCGCGCCCGGCCUGUUUUCUUUUUAAAGUAUAUUAUUCUGGCUAGGUGCGGUGGCUCACGCCUGUAAUCCCAGC